GCCGAUGUAGCUCAGCUGGUNNACUCCAUGGUAAGGAGUAGGUCACCGGUUCAAAUCCGGUCAUCGGCU
rnacentral:tRNA from 1 species